ACUCGAGGAGGUGGUGACAACAGUGGCCUGACUUCAGAUUGUGCCCAUCCAGUGUUCUGGGAUUUUGGAGCCUUCUGUAUAGGGAGUCAGCCAUUCAGGAUGACGUUUUCUCUCCCCAAGGCCUUGGUUCCUUGUUCUGGGAUAUCCAGCAGAACGGCCAUCAGAUGCUGUGAGCUUAAAAGACAAGAGCUUCAUCCUCCAAAUGAUCAGUGAUUUUGAGGACACACCACUCAUUCAUUCAUUCAUCCUGCAAACAUUUUCUUUUUUAGUGUUUUCCAUGCAAAUAGCUGUGUGCCUCUGGGCAAAUUAACUUCUGUGAGCCUCAGUUUGCUCUUUUAUAUACGGGGAAUAAUAAAACACUCUUCAUAAGGUUAAGUGCCCAGUUUCAGGAAUAUGGUAGUCACUCAGGCAAUGAUAGUUAUUCUUAUUAGAGUCUAAUAAGCUGUAAAUCUCACAGUAUCAGCAAGGCAUAAAAGAUAUUUAAAUACAUUUAGUCAGCAACAUACACACGAGUGUUAACUGAUACCCCAGUGCAUGUUGAGGACAUAGCCCCUGAAUAACCUUGGAAGGCUCCCCAAAGGAGUGAGACAUGGCGUCUCAUGUAAAGAGCACCCUAAAUCUUAGAGCUAGAAUCAAAACUGAGUAAGGUCUACCCCUUGUCUCCAGUCUGACACAGUAUAAUUGUUAUUUUCUCAUUUUUCAGUUGAAGAAACAAGAAGAAAGUGAGAUGAAGAGUCUUAGACGCUCUUCAUUGAGUUAGAUACCAUUAAUACGUUCUUUUCACAAAUGAAGAAACUGAGACUUAGAGAAGAUAAUCCUCCCCCAGUGGCACAUCAUUAAUCAGUGGUGAACCUCAACUGGGUCUGCAGGUAACCUAGCUCCAGAGACUAGGAUUGUGACCCCAUGACUCCAUGGGAACAGAGGCUACUGUGGGAAGAAUAUUGAAUUUGGAGUCAAACCAACCAACCUGGUUUGUAAUCUCUGCUCCAGCACAGACGAUUUUGUGAACCUGGGAAAGGCACUUAACCUUCUGGGCUCUGUUUUCUUUAUCUGGUAACUAGAAAUGAUGAUAUCCACCCUGUAGGGUACUAAACAAUGACAAAUACAUAUAGGAAGGGUUUCUCAUGGUUCCUUGGAUAGAGUAAAUCACACCUUAGAUCUUCCUAGGCUCUUCAAGUUUAUAAGAACUUUUGCAGACAUGACUAUAUGGGAAUUGCCCAAUGAGAUAUGCAGGGAAGAGAUAUUUAUCUCCCUUCCAUAGAUGAGGAAAGUGAGCCAGAGAGGGAAAGAAGAGUGAAGGGAAUUCUCUUAAACUCCCCACUUAUUUAACAAAUCUCAGCUCAGCAGCUCUUCUAUUCCAGAAUCACAUUAUCUUGAGGGGUAUAAGGAUUGUUUUCAUUUUUCUAGAUGAGGCACUAAGCCUCAGAGAAACUGUACAACUUGCACAGGGCCAUAGAACAAAUCAUAAGAAGCGUUGGGAAUUAAACCAGGGUAUGUGUGGACCCCAGACAUGGCUAUGGUAGAGUGAUUUGCUCCAGGGUCACAAGGUGGUAAGGGGCACAGCCAAGGAAGGCUCCAACCCUAGCUUUCCAGGUUCAGAUCCAAAUUCUAAGCAAGUGUUGACUUACGCAAAAGGUUAAAAAGUCAGAACCUCAGAGCCAGGAAAUAUCACCUUCCUUGAUAAAACGUGGGCAAUCUUCCCAUUAUAACAUUUGCUGUCUACAGGAAACCUUCCCAGACAUAAACCGAUCCUAUCUUCUAGCCAAAGUGAUUUGGAGAUGGCUUAACUAAAGAGAUUUAAGAAGCAGACCCACCUACAAGGUAAUCAAUGAAAGGGGAUCGCUGACUUUGGCACGUGCAGUCUGCCACGAAAGUCUGUGAGACUGAUGGGUGUGGUUCUAUGAUAAGUACAAUCAGUAUGGGUUUUGGAAAAGAGAGGGUAACCUGGAGCCAGAGACAUGGGGUUCAAGUCUUGGUUUCUCCACGAUUGGCUGAACCACUCCACUUCUUUGUGUCUGACC